rnacentral:rRNA from 1 species
AUACGGAGGGUGCAAGCGUUAAUCGGAAUUACUGGGCGUAAAGCGUACGUAGGCGGUUCGUUAAGUUAGAUGUGAAAGCCCCGGGCUUAACCUGGGAACUGCAUUUAAAACUGGCGAACUAGAGUUGAGUAGAGGGGAGUGGAAUUUCAGGUGUAGCGGUGAAAUGCGUAGAGAUCUGAAGGAACACCAGUGGCGAAGGCGACUCCCUGGACUCAAACUGACGCUGAGGUACGAAAGCGUGGGUAGCAAACGGGAUUAGAUACCCCGUAGUCC